AUGAACGCUAGCGAUAGGCCUAACACAUGCAAGUCGAGGGGCAGCACAAGGAGCAAUCUGAGGUGGCGACCGGCGCACGGGUGAGUAACACGUAUGCAACCUGCCUGUAAGCGGGGAAUAACCCGUUGAAAGACGGACUAAUACCGCAUAAUACUAAAUUACUGCAUGGUAAUUUAUUUAAACAUUUAUGGCUUACAGAUGGGCAUGCGCAUGAUUAGCUAGUUGGAGAGGUAACGGCUCCCCAAGGCAACGAUCAUUAGGGGUUCUGAGAGGAAGGUCCCCCACACUGGUACUGAGACACGGACCAGACUCCUACGGGAGGCAGCAGUGAGGAAUAUUGGUCAAUGGACGAGAGUCUGAACCAGCCAAGUCGCGUGCAGGAAGAAUGUCCUAUUGGAUUGUAAACUGCUUUUGCAGGGGAAUAAAGUGCAUCACGUGUGAUGUUUUGUAUGUACUCUGCGAAUAAGGAUCGGCUAACUCCGUGCCAGCAGCUGC
rnacentral:rRNA from 1 species